rnacentral:misc_RNA from 1 species
GUGAAUCAUCGAAUCUUUGAACGCACAUUGCGCCCGCCAGUACUCUGGCGGGCAUGCCUGUCCGAGCGUCAUUUCAACCCUCGAACCCCCCUGGGGGAUCGGUGUUGGGGGCCGGCCUCCGCCUCUCGCAGGUGGUCGCCGCCCCCGAAAUACAGUGGCGGUCCCGCCGCAGCCUCCCCUGCGCAGUAGCUUGCACGCUCGCACCGGAGAGCGGCGGGUCCCACGCCAUUAAGCCCCCCAAACUUACAAAAGGUUGACCUCGGAUCAGGUAGGAAUACCCGCUGAACUUAAGCAUAUCAAUAAGCGGAGGA